rnacentral:pre_miRNA from 1 species
CAGGGCUGGGGUCUGAGAGUCAGUAUUCUUGGAGCGUCUCCACCGUGGCCUGGGCUCUGGUCCUCCUCACCCUCCUCACUCAGGAUACAGGUGA